AUACGGAGGAUGCGAGCGUUAUCCGGAUUUAUUGGGUUUAAAGGGUGCGUAGGCGGCUUUAUAAGUCAGUGGUGAAAUGUAUCGGCUUAACCGAUAAAUUGCCGUUGAUACUGUUAAGCUUGAAUACGGUUGCCGUGGGAGGAAUGUGUGGUGUAGCGGUGAAAUGCAUAGAUAUCACACAGAACACCGAUUGCGAAGGCAUCUCACGAAGCCGGCAUUGACGCUGAGGCACGAAAGUGUGGGGAUCAAACAUGAUUAGAUACCCUGGUAGUCCACACAGUAAACGAUGAUAACUAGCUGUUUGCGAUAUACAGUAAGUGGCUAAGCGAAAGCGAUAAGUUAUCCACCUGGGGAGUACGACCGCAAGGUUGAA
rnacentral:rRNA from 1 species